rnacentral:rRNA from 1 species
GAUGAACGCUGGCGGCGUGCCUAAUACAUGCAAGUCGAGCGAACAGACGAGGAGCUUGCUCCUUCGACGUUAGCGGCGGACGGGUGAGUAACACGUAGGUACCCUACCUAUAAGACUGGGAUAACCUCGGGAAACCGGCGCUAAUACCGGAUAAUAUUUCGAACCGCAUGGUUCGAUAGUGAAAGAUGGCUUUGCUAUCACUUAUAGAUGGACCUGCGCCGUAUUAGCUAGUUGGUAAGGUAACGGCUUACCAAGGCAACGAUACGUAGCCGACCUGAGAGGGUGAUCGGCCACACUGGAACUGAGACACGGUCCAGACUCCUACGGGAGGCAGCAGUAGGGAAUCUGACGCAAUGGGCGAAAGCAUGACGGAGCAACGCCGCGUGAGUGAUGAAGGUCUUCGGAUCGUAAAACCCUGUUAUGAGGGAAGAACAAACGUGUAAGUAACUGUGCACGUCUUGACGGUACCUAAUCAGAAAGCCACGGCUAACUACGUG